UGGGUUAGACUAUGGAGUUAGGGUAGACGGGUUAGACUGAUUUAGGUUUAUCGGGUUAGACUGUGGCGUUAGGGUUAGACUGGGUUAGACUGUGGAGUUAGGGUUAGACUGGGUUAGACUGUGGAUUAGGGUUAGCCUGGGUUAGUCUGUUGUGUUGGGUGAGAUUGGGUUAGACUGUGGUGUUAGGGUUAGACUGGGUUAGACUGUGGAGUUAGGGUUAGACUGUGGUGUUAGGGUUAGACUGGGUUAGACUGGAGUUAGGGUUAGACUGGGUUAGACUAUGGAGUUAGGGUUAGACUGGGUUGACUUUGUGUUAGGGUUGAUUGAUGGGUAGAUGUGUGUUAGGGUUAGACUGGGUUAGACUGUGGUGUUAGUGUUAGACUGGGUUAGACUUGGUUGUUAGUGUUAGACUGGGUUGACUGUGGUGUUUAGGGUUAGACUGGGGCAUUAGGGUUAGACUGGUUUA
rnacentral:lncRNA from 1 species